GGUCUAGCGGCGGACGGGUUAGUAACGCGUGGAACGUGCCCUUCUCUGCGGAAUAGCCACUGGAAACGGUGAGUAAUACCGCAUACGCCCUUCGGGGGAAAGAUUUAUCGGAGAAGGAUCGGCCCGCGUUAGAUUAGAUAGUUGGUGGGGUAAUGGCCUACCAAGUCUACGAUCUAUAGCUGGUUUUAGAGGAUGAUCAGCAACACUGGGACUGAGACACGGCCCAGACUCCUACGGGAGGCAGCAGUGGGGAAUCUUAGACAAUGGGCGCAAGCCUGAUCUAGCCAUGCCGCGUGUGUGAUGAAGGUCUUAGGAUCGUAAAGCACUUUCGCCAGGGAUGAUAAUGACAGUACCUGGUAAAGAAACCCCGGCUAACUCCGUGCCAGCAGCCGCGGUAAUACGGAGGGGGUUAGCGUUGUUCGGAAUUACUGGGCGUAAAGCGUACGUAGGCGGAUCAGAAAGUAAGGGGUGAAAUCCCAGGGCUCAACCCUGGAACUGCCUCUUAAACUCCUGGUCUUGAGUUCGAGAGAGGUGAGUGGAAUUCCAAGUGUAGAGGUGAAAUUCGUAGAUAUUUGGAGGAACACCAGUGGCGAAGGCGGCUCACUGGCUCGAUACUGACGCUGAGGUACGA
rnacentral:rRNA from 1 species